rnacentral:lncRNA from 1 species
CAUAGUUUACCUGAUCAUCUGGGAUUGAUGUGUGGGAAAAUAAAUGUAUCAUAGAAACACUGAUGAAGAGGAUGCUGUGGGUCCUUUUUAAAGAUAUAAUGUGAAAAUAGUAAGAAUAUUGCAUUAAAAUAUCUAAAAACUACCAGAUCUUUGUUGAGUUGUUCACUCACAUCAUCACAAAUGUUUCCAAAAAUGUUCAAACCAGAGAAAUCCACAAGUUUACUCAGAGUCUCAUUGGAACGUCUGUUGCUAUAACUUCCUGGAGAGAGUCAGAGAGCGAGGAAGGAAGUCGAAAUGAGACAAAACAUAACAUAAAUCAGCUUUUCUUCAGCAACGGUGGCUGUUAACUGUGUGUUCACCAUCAGUGUUUAUUCUCUCCAAACAGCCAGAUAUUUAACUGCACACAGACGUAAACUACACCAGCUACAGUCAGUGUGUCGAGGUCGACUGCUGAGUGAAGUCAGCACUCAGCAGAGACUCUGGUUCUGGUUCUGGUUCUCUCUCUCCUCUCUGUAGCGUCACGUUCAUGAAGUAAAGUCCAUUUCCCUGACAGUGGAGGUCACUGCUGCAGUCAGGCUGGACAGGAGUGAUGAUAGAUCACCUUUUUAAUCCAGAAGUUAAAAAUUCAUCUCUGAGCUCUCCUUCUGUUGGAUCAGAACCGAAUCUGAUGAGACUUUUUUGCGUCCUUGUGUCAUUCAUGGCUGGAAUGGACUUAAAUUUGCAUCAAUUAGCGUCUUCACAUUUAAUCUACACACGCUAAAAACUAGCAUUCAGUCUGAACAUCGACACUUACACUCAAUUACAUUACGUGCUUGUUUGGGGAUUGCAUCAUGGGAAAUGCGGUUUAACACAGUUCAGCAUCAUGUCUGUCUCUAAUUACUUAUUUAUUUAAUUUACCUUCCAGCUGCUGUGUUGGUCCGUGCAGUGCUCGUCCUCCUCCUCCUCCUCAUCAUGGUCAUCAUCAUCUUCGUCACUUGGAGAUGCAGCAUCAAAAGACGAGGAGGAAGAGGAGAACAAACGGAUGAGGUCGUCAAUGCUGAGACAUCAGAUAUUCCUGUGUUUGAAUCAGCACAAGGUGAGAAAUUAGAAAAAAAUAAUAACCCUGAAUUUAAAAACUGUGUGGCCAAAAAGUCAAUUAUGUAGUUUGGAUUUUAAAAACACUCCUGAAACAUGAAGUAGUUGGUAUCAGAUGGCAGAAAUCAACUGGAUGUGGCCAACAAAAAAGUUAAUUUACAUAAAUGUGUGUUGAAUUCAUGUUUUUUUAAUUUCCAAUUGGAUCAAACCAAGAGCUCACGUACUCCGUCAUCCAGAGCAUUCCAGCGCUGCAAAAUAUGGAUUGUAUGAAUAUGAAUAUGAAUGUAUUUGGGGAGUUGUGCAUUUUUAUAUGACUCGAUACACAAAUGCAUUUUCAAUGCACACACAAAUAUGCUUCAAUCCAUAUAUAAGUAAAAAAAAAUUCACAUAUAAAAAUAAGAUUUGUAAACAUAUUUGUGAUGCGCACACAAAUAUUUCUUGUUUUAAAU